AACGAACGCUGGCGGCAGGCUUAACACAUGCAAGUCGAGCGCCCCGCAAGGGGAGCGGCAGCCGGGUGAGUAACGCGUGGGAAUCUACCGUACCCUACGGAAUAGCUCCGGGAAACUGGAAUUAAUACCGUAUACGCCCUACGGGGGAAAGAUUUAUCGGGGUAUGAUGAGCCCGCGUUGGAUUAGCUAGUUGGUGGGGUAAAGGCCUACCAGGGCGACGAUCCAUAGCUGGUCUGAGAGGAUGAUCAGCCACAUUGGGACUGAGACACGGCCCAAACUCCGACGGGAGGCAGCAGUUGGGAAUAUUGGACAAUGGGCGCAAGCCUGAUCCAGCCAUGCCGCGUGAGUGAUGAAGGUCUUAGGAUUGUAAAGCUCUUUCACCGAUGAAGAUAAUGACGGUAGUCGGAGAAGAAGCCCCGGCUAACUUCGUGCCAGCAGCCGCCGUAA
rnacentral:rRNA from 1 species